rnacentral:rRNA from 1 species
GAUGAACGCUAGCGGGAGGCCUAACACAUGCAAGCCGAGCGGUAUUGUUUCUUCGGAAAUGAGAGAGCGGCGUACGGGUGCGGAACACGUGUGCAACCUGCCUUUAUCUGGGGGAUAGCCUUUCGAAAGGAAGAUUAAUACUCCAUAACAUAUUGAUUGGCAUCAAUUAAUAUUGAAAGCUCCGGCGGAUAGAGAUGGGCACGCGCAAGAUUAGCUAGUUGGUGAGGUAACGGCUCACCAAGGCGAUGAUCUUUAGGGGGCCUGAGAGGGUGAUCCCCCACACUGGUACCGAGACACGGACCAGACUCCUACGGGAGGCAGCAGUGAGGAAUAUUGGUCAAUGGGUGCAAGCCUGAACCAGCCAUCCCGCGUGAAGGACGACUGCCCUAUGGGUUGUAAACUUCUUUUGUAUAGGGAUAAACCUACCCUCGUGAGGGUAGCUGAAGGUACUAUACGAAUAAGCACCGGCUAACUCCGUGCCAGCAGCCGCGGUAAUACGGAGGGUGCAAGCGUUAUCCGGAUUUAUUGGGUUUAAAGGGUCCGUAGGCGGACUUAUAAGUCAGUGGUGAAAGCCUGUCGCUUAACGAUAGAACUGCCAUUGAUACUGUAAGUCUUGAGUAUAUUUGAGGUAGCUGGAAUAAGUAGUGUAGCGGUGAAAUGCAUAGAUAUUACUUAGAACACCAAUUGCGAAGGCAGGUUACCAAGAUAUAACUGACGCUGAGGGACGAAAGCGUGGGGAGCGAACAGGAUUAGAUACCCUGGUAGUCCACGCCGUAAACGAUGCUAACUCGUUUUUGGGCUUUAGGGUUCAGAGACCAAGCGAAAGUGAUAAGUUAGCCACCUGGGGAGUACGCUCGCAAGGGUGAAACUCAAAGGAAUUGACGGGGGCCCGCACAAGCGGUGGAUUAUGUGGUUUAAUUCGAUGAUACGCGAGGAACCUUACCAAGACUUAAAUGGGAAUUGACAGCUUUAGAAAUAGAGCUUUCUUCGGACAAUUUUCAAGGUGCUGCAUGGUUGUCGUCAGCUCGUGCCGUGAGGUGUUAGGUUAAGUCCUGCAACGAGCGCAACCCCUGUCACUAGUUGCCAUCAUUCAGUUGGGGACUCUAGUGAGACUGCCUACGCAAGUAGAGAGGAAGGUGGGGAUGACGUCAAAUCAUCACGGCCCUUACGUCUUGGGCCACACACGUAAUACAAUGGCCGGUACAGAGGGCAGCUACACAGCGAUGUGAUGCAAAUCUCGAAAGCCGGUCUCAGUUCGGAUUGGAGUCUGCAACUCGACUCUAUGAAGCUGGAAUCGCUAGUAAUCGCGCAUCAGCCAUGGCGCGGUGAAUACGUUCCCGGGCCU